rnacentral:rRNA from 1 species
UACGUAGGAGGCAAGCGUUGUCCGGAGUUACUGGGCGUAAAGGGCCCGCAGGCGGUGGAGUAAGUUUGGAGUGACAGUUCCCAGCUUAACCGGGAAAGGACUUCGAAAACUGCUCGACUUGAGGACUGGAGAGGAAGGCGGAAUUCCGGGUGGAGCGGUGAAAUGCGUAGAGAUCCGGAAGAACACCGGUGGCGAAGGCGGCCUGCUGGGCAGUUUUGCUGACACUGAGGCGCGACAGCGUGGGGAGCAAACAGG